rnacentral:rRNA from 1 species
UACGGGGGGGCAAGCGUUGUUCGGAUUUACUGGGCGUAAAGCGCACGUAGGCGGAUCGUUAAGUCAGGGGUGAAAUCCUGGAGCUCAACUCCAGAACUGCCUUUGAUACUGGCGAUCUUGAGUCCGGAAGAGGUGAGUGGAACUCCUAGUGUAGAGGUGGAAUUCGUAGAUAUUAGGAAGAACACCAGUGGCGAAGGCGGCUCACUGGUCCGGUACUGACGCUGAGGUGCGAAAGCGUGGGGAGCAAACAGGG